AAACAUGUCUUUUUGAGUUAUUUUUAAAGUCUAACCUGCCCAAUGAAAUUUUAAAUGGCCGCAGUAUUUUGACUGUGCAAAGGUAGCAUAAUCAUUAGUCUUUUAAUUGAAGGCUUGUAUGAAUGGUUGGACGAAGUAUAAACUGUUUCAUAUAAAUUUAUUAUAGAAUUUUAUUUUUUAGUAAAAAAGCUAAAAUUUUUUUAAAAGACGAGAAGACCCUAUAAAUCUUUAUAAUUUAUAUUUAUUUGAAUUUUUUAGAAAAAUUUUUUUUUAAUAGAUAAAAUUAUUUUGUUGGGGUGAUAUUAAAAUUUAAGAAACUUUUAAUAAUUUAUAACAUUAAUUUAUGAAUUACUGAUCCAUUAAUAAUGAUUAUAAGAAUAAGUUACUUUAGGGAUAACAGCGUAAUUUUUUUGGAGAGUUCAUAUUGAUAAAAAAGUUUGCGACCUCGAUGUUGGAUUAAGAGAUAUAUUUAGGUGUAGCAGUUUAAAUAUUAAGUCUGUUCGACUUUUAAAUUCUUACAUGAUC
rnacentral:rRNA from 1 species